rnacentral:rRNA from 1 species
GAUGAACGCUGGCGGCGUGCCUAAUACAUGCAAGUCGAGCGAACGGACGGGAAGCUUGCUUCUCUGAUGUUAGCGGCGGACGGGUGAGUAACACGUGGAUAACCUACCUAUAAGACUGGGAUAACUUCGGGAAACCGUAGCUAAUACCGGAUAAUAUUUUGAACCGCAUGGUUCAAAAGUGAAAGACGGUCUUGCUGUCACUUAUAGAUGGAUCCGCGCUGCAUUAGCUAGUUGGUAAGGUAACGGCUUACCAAGGCAACGAGGCAUACCCGACCUGAGGGGGAGAUCGGCCACACGGGAAGUGAGACACGGUCCAGACUCCUACGGGAGGCAGCAGUAGGGAAUCUUCCGCGAUGGGCGAAAGCCUGACGGAGCAACACCGCGUGAGUGAUGAAGGUCUUAGGAUCGUAAAACUCUGUUAUUAGGGAAGAACAUAUGUGUAAGUAACUGUGAACAUCUUGACGGUACCUAAUCAGAAAGCCACGGCUAACUACGUG